GACAGAGGAUGCAAACGUUGCUCGGAGUUACUGGGCGUAAAGCGCGUGUAGGUGGUCUGAUAAGUCGGGUGUGAAAUCCCGGGGCUCAACCUCGGAAGUGCACACGAUACUGUCGGACUCGAGUACUGGAGAGGAGAGCGGAAUUCCCGGUGUAGAGGUGAAAUUCGUAGAUAUCGGGAGGAACACCAGUGGCGAAGGCGGCUCUCUGGACAGAUACUGACACUGAGACGCGAAAGCGUGGGGAGCAAACAGG
rnacentral:rRNA from 1 species